rnacentral:tRNA from 1 species
GGUGGCUCAGUGGUAGAGCGCUUGUCUUGUAUGCCUGAGGCCCUGGGUUCGAUUCCCAGCACCA